GGCGGAGUAGCUCAGUUGGUUAGAGCAGCGGAAUCAUAAUCCGCGUGUCGGGAGUUCAAAUCUCUCCUCCGCUACCA
rnacentral:tRNA from 1 species